CCAGCACAUACCAGAGCUGCACAGAACAACCUCCAGCCUUGAAUACUCAGCAUUGAGGUUGUAGAAAAUUAUAAAAAAUGUCUCAAACAGCUACAACUGGGAUACAAAUUCUAACUGAAAAAAUAACCAACAUUUUGACUAAAAAGGCAAAUGAUGGAAAAGCCCCAGUAUCCGAUAAUGGUGGAAACAAAAACCUGAAAAGUCACAAACGGUAGUCAAGACAAAGAUCCUGAUGCUGCUGUUUCAAUGCUGUAGCAAGAACAGCACAUCUAUAUAUAACCUGGACAUCUUCUUUUAAAGUAGCCACUGGCAGAAAUAAUUGUAAUAUAAAUAUUGGUGGUGAAGUCAACUUAAAGCCUAACUCUGAUGAUACUCCGACAGCAGGAUAUCUGUCAUGACCAACGGAGUGGACAGGGAGAGUGAGCCCUAAGCUGUCCCUAAUAACACUCUCCCUGCCUAAUUGCCCAUCCCCCCUAAACGGCGGAUCGACAACCAUUGUGCUGGUCCCUAACUGCGCUAAAGUGCAGUGGGCGUAAAAAUAAAUAAUAAUAUACAUAGUCUGUCAAAGGCCAGAAACAUAACGGGAAAAUUACCAAACAACCAGAUAUACCAGACUGAAUAUAAACAUACAAACAGGGCAGAAUAUAUUGUACUAACAAACAUUCAGAAACUGGAAUCCAUAAAAACAGCAGACGUGAAUAAAUGAACAAAACAAGAUAUGGAAUAAGUAUACAAAGAAACCAGAAUAUGCAGGGGAUGAACAGAAGAACGGAAUGUUAAAACACUACACAGGUCAGGAAACAUUGGACACUGUUCCCACUGGAUAACAAUCAAACUAAACUCCCCACUCCAACAUGGAGGGACAUUAAUAAUAAAGCCAAAUAGACUUCUAGCCAGGCGGCACACUCCACCUGAGUGAUCAGGAUACUGGCCUAGAAGGAAACAGAAAUAUAAAACACAGAGCACAGCACUGAGAAACGGAUGAGUCAGAACAGACUCCAGGAUACCAAACAGGAAUUAAAACAUACAGAGCAUGGGUAAUCAAGCAAGAAUCACAGUAAGAACAGACUAAGCAGAACGGACAUACAUAUGAAAAACUGACAGUGUGCUUGGUUUUUAGUACUUCUAAAAUCUAUAUCAAACAGUAAUAAACCAUGGUUAAAACUCAGAUGAAUACUAAGACAGACAAAAGCAAGGCGCAUAAUAAAACAGUCAUGGUCAAAGUAAGAACUAUGCACAAAUAACCAGCACAAAGUUCAGGAAAGCACAUGUUUAAAUAGCCCCAUCCGAGUUCCCAUAGGGUCAGAGCAUUAACUAUUCCCUAUCCAGGGGGAAUAGCACAGAAAACUGAUAAUGCAUACAAUGUCUGAACAGUGCCUAAACUGAAAAACGCAAAAACACAAAAGCAGACAUUACAAUAUCUGUUUAAAUCUCCCAGCAACUUCAUAGCCGAGACUUGCCCAAGACAUGGAACUUCUGGCAAAUCUGUAUCCUUAUUGAUGUAGUCUCAAGCAAAAGUCUCGGACUACAAAGUUGUCUGGAGAUUUUAAACAGAUAUCCUGCCUCUAGAGCAUCAUUUGAGUUAUAACCUUAUCAGAAUGAAAAAUAUUAUGAUCUUUUUAUACCUAGGCCAGUAAUCAUGACAAGGGGGCAUCCUCUAAGCCUAGAGAAAAGAAUGUUUCACCAUCACAGACAGGGAUUCUUUACUGUGAGAGCAGUGAGACUAUGGAACUCACUUCCCCACUGAUGUUGUAAAGUCUGACUCAAUAAACAAGUUCAAGGGGGGGCCUGGAUGUUUUUCUGGAAAAAUAUCAUAUUACAGGUUAUGGAUACUAGAUUCAUGGGGAUAGAACAUUAAUUCAGGUAUUUAUUCUGAUUGCCGCAUAUGAGUCGGGAAGGAAUUUUCCUUUCUCUGGAUCAAAAGAAAAUCUUUAAUUUUGUUUUUUAACUUUAUAAAGUACGGUAUGUAACUAUGUAUUAUUGGUAAAACCAAUAAAUGUACAAUUACAAUAAGGAAAAUGUAUAAAUAAAAUUUUUA